ACUGAGCAAAGGGAAGUGACUGAAGGGAAUCUGUUUUGAUAACAGAGACUUUGAGUUGAAGUGGACUAUUUUUGAUUACUUUUAAAAGGAAGUAUUUUCUCCUCUGGGAUGUUUUAAGUUAACUUUGAGACCUGUUUUUGAAGAUGACCUGAGUUACCUUUGUUUUGUGUGAUUGCACCUGUGGUUAUAAAACCCCUCCUUCUGUUGAACCUGACCUGAGACUGUUUUGGAUUGUUUUUACAUUUUCCCCACCUCUUCCCGCCCUACAAACCUCUCACAGCGUAUUUGCUUAAAUAUUGAAAAACAAUAUGAACACUGUCAAAUCAAAAUCUCCCAAAAACAUGGAUUAUAUUUAAAUAUUAAUAUUUUACUAAAUAUUUAAAGCAGAAAGUGUCUAUUUGAUCAUUUCCUCUUAAAAAGGAAACAACUUGUUGUCAUUGUUUUGAGUCCUGGAAAACCUUGAAACACUUUUGAAGAUGUUAAUUUUUUAAAAAUCAGGAGUAGCCCCAAAAAUGUCCACCAAACCCGAUCAUGACGAUCAUGAUGUUAUUGCUUUUAUUUUAAAGAACACCUUCUCUCUUAGAUUCCUCCUGAUGUUCACAUUUAAAAUAUGAACCUUCAGUUUUACAUGAAGAUUAAAUCUUCCUUCAGCAGCUUGUUUUUUCCAGCGUCAGAAUGAUGCUGAAUCCUUCUCGUAUGAUUCCCUGCUUUAACAUUUCUUCAUACAUGCUCUGCUGAACUCUGGUGUCUGCGAACGCACCAUUCGUGCUGCCUUCAGGCUGCUGAGAUUUCAUAUCACAUCCAGGAGCAGCGAGGCGGACAGUCCUCACGUAUAAACUCUUUUUCUCAGGGAAGGAAAAACAGCCAAUAAUUCUGCAGCAUCAGAAACACAUUCAUACAUAUGGACGAAUCGCCCGCAACGCCUGUUUGAGCUGAAUGUUUUUUUCAUGGACAGCAGCAGAGAACAGCCGUCUCCCGGUUAUUGGCUCUGCUUACGGGACCUCAGGGCGCCAUCAAAGAUUUAGGUCGGCCGCGGGCAGCUUCCCCCUCGAUCCGGGAGCAGUCAGUCACCGCGGAGAUGAAGACGCCGCCAGGUCAACCGCCUCGCCGACCGAGAGGACGAGCCGGACGAGCUGGGAAACAGAACCGAGGCGGCCCCACAAGACUGAAGCUCCAGCAUCCAAACUUCAGCUGGACUACAGACUGAAUUAAACAUGGAGGUAGUCUUGGUGGCGUCACAGAGUUAUGGAACCCUUAGAGACGGAUCUGAGGACUCUGAUGGACUUAUGACGGAUCCAGAAUCAGGCAGAGAGAGAGGUGGAGGAUAAUGAAGUGCAAACAGCAGAGUCCCUGAUUGUGUAAAACCAAACCAAUCAUCUCUAAAGAGGAGAACGCUGCGCGGACCAUCACUUAGGCCUGAAUAAAUCUGUCACAUCUUCCAUUCUCUUGGACACACAACUUAUUGUUCUCAUUUGGCUUCUGGUUCAGCGAGUAAAUUCCUCCUGACAACAUUUCUUGAGUUACAUCUGGCCGCCCAGCUGUUCAUCACGCCGGGUCCCGGAGCCAGCCUGGAAACAGAAGAGAGGGUUUUUAUGAGCUCCUCGUCCAUGUGUCUGUUCAUUCAGUGACGAGUCAUUCUAACAGCUUAAGGUAAUCUGAAUGAAGAUUUAAAACUGAAUUAGUGUCGGCAGUUAAGAGAUCAUAAAAUCAGCACACGAGGUUUUAUUUCUAUAUUGGAUUUAAUGUGAAUUAACAUCACACUCAGUGCAGGCGUGUCGCUAACCUUUACACAACACACGCAGGACGCCUGGUGAGGGCUGAGAGAGGGACGUAACACAGGAGGGGGGGGGGAUAUAUAUCCAACAAUCAGUGAUGUUAAUCAAUGGUGCAAGGUUAGGAUCUGAGUCUCUGGGCUUUAAAUGACUCUCUUAGACUUUACUGAAGAAAGAAUCUGCAGCUGGAUUAUAAAACAUGAAGAUGUGGAAGUGUCGUAGGUUUCUUAACUUUGUGUCAGGACGGGAUGUUUGAAGCAUUUUGUGUUGUUUAACACCUGACACGAAUAAAAUCCUUUACUCUCAUAAUUUACAUUUACAGGAACGCCAGAAUGUUUUGUGUUUACUCGUUUAAUUCAAACGAAUAAGUCGCUCUAUUCACGUGUUUCAUUUCCCUCUUGCUCUCCACAGAGCUGUGUCCUCUCCACGUUCAUGGCAUCAUGAUGCUUUUAAAUAUCAAAAACAAAGGAGUGGAUUUCAACUAGACUGCUGCCGUCCUCUCUCCAGCAAUGAUCGAUGGACAGAGUGAUGUGUCGCUCACUGAUGACUCCACUUUAAGAGCUGUCUCUAGUAUGUGUACCAGAUUCUUCCCCCAAGUUUCAGAGUUGUUGUUCUAACUUGAGGAGUCGUGCACAAACAUUUCAUUCUGACACACGAAAGCGAAGUGUCAGCACAAGGAAACUAACUGUUGG